rfam:Streptomyces zinciresistens K42 contig00003, whole genome shotgun sequence.
CUUGACGGAGCCCAGCCACAGCGGCCGGUCCUCCGGCCGGUCCUGGCCGUAGGACGCGAUCAGCGCCUGCGCCUC